UUAAAUCUGCGUAAGAUACGAGAAGGGAAGAAACAGAUGAAUGUUUAAGAGAAUACUUUCUUUGUUCCCUGAUGUAUGUCUCUUUCCAUGAUAGCAGUCUAAAUUUAUUAAUCUUGUGCUUUUUGUCUCAUGGGGUUCAAAUGAGAAUUUUCUUAGAAAAUCCGAUCAGUUAGCUACGUGGCAGCAUUAACAAGUCCAAACUGUAGACCAUGCGAGACCUGUCUUUGUUGUGUACUUUAAUAUAUGUAUACAAACAAGAGAUUGCAAACAAAACGUACUUCUCCCGUUUGGUCUUUCAUCUGUGUAACCGGUAAUCAUGGGAAACAGUAUCUUUGCAAAUUGCUGCAGGCAUGUCACUGAUCUCAUCUUUCAGACACACAGCUUUAAUUCGGCUGAGAGGGCCCCUCUCUUACCCAAUUCUCCCGUUAGUUGCACUGCAUCUCCUGAUGUCUCCCUCCCUGUUCAAAUGAACUUAGAUGUCUCGGAAGCUUGCAAGUGCAUGCCACUGUAUCCGGACAUUAUUCUCAGCAAUGCAUCGAAUGAAAGUCUGCAAAAAUGGCCAGAAUAUGUUCAAGGCUUACCCAAGGAGAAGGGCAGUGAAGAAAUGAUGAAGGCCUGUGAAAACAGCUGCUUGAAACUCAGUGUUGCUGUUUCUAGCUUAAUAAAGCAGACAGAGGCAUCUUCUGCUCUGGCUGUCCUUCCUGGCGACCUUGAGAAAGGAUCAGCUACACAGUUAAAUCAUUCUCAGUCACUUGAGGCCUGCCAGAAUUGCGGGAAACUUGAGGCCAAUGGCCUAGACUCUAAAGCGUUCAACCAGGAAGAGCCUGUGGUACCAGCUGACAAAAGAGCUGCAGCCCACAGAAUGCCUAUUGUUGAUUGGCAGCAAAACCGAGACAUCUCUGAGAGGGGAAAAGCCUCCAGUUUGGAACCAUCAUUAGCAGAUCCAGGUGUCCAGUUAAAAGACAAAACUUAUGCUUCUAACUUGGGAAGCUGUGAAAUGGCUGAAACGCCUAAAUCUAACCACUCUUUAAAGGCAGAGAGAAGCCAGAAUAUACAAGAGAUGGUCUUGUCUGUCAUUACGGAUGAGAAUACACACAUGAUCCAGGAUAAAAGCACUUGUUACUUACUGACCAAUCCUGCAGUUGGCCUAGAUGGCAAGUUAAACGUUGAUCCUGAUCUUGAAGUGAGCAUACUGCCAUCAAAGCAGAAGAAGAGGAGGAGGAAAAGGAAACUUUGUUUUUUAGAACAUCCGUCUGGCAUGGCUUUAAUGAACGGUGACGGCUCUUACGAGCACCUCAAGGAGGAAACCAGGCAGAAUGGCCACGAGGAGGCUGACCCAGGGGAUGAUGCAAAUGACCAGGAAGUUAUCGUCAUACAGGACACUGGCUUCACCGUCAAGAUUUACGCUCCGGGAAUAGAACCUUUUUCCCUGCAGGUCUCUCCUCAAGAGAUGGUGCAGGAGAUCCACCAAGUGCUGAUGGACAGAGAGGACACCUGUCACCGAACCUGCUUUUCUCUGCAGCUGGAUGGGAAUGUCCUGGAUAACUUUGCAGAGCUGAAAACCAUUGAAGGGCUGCAGGAGGGGUCGGUGCUGAAAGUGGUUGAAGAGCCCUACACAGUACGGGAAGCCAGGAUACACGUGCGUCACAUUCGGGACCUUCUGAAGAGCCUUGACCCGUCCGAUGCUUUCAAUGGCGUGGACUGCAAUUCGCUCUCAUUCCUGAGCAUCUUCACGGAAGGAGACCUAGGAGACAGUGGGAAACGGAAGAAGAAAGGUACUGAAAUGGAACAAAUUGACUGCACCCCUCCGGAACAUAUCCUGCCAGGUGGCAAAGAGAGACCUCUUUGUGCCCUCCAGCCCCAGAACAGAGACUGGAAGCCUUUGCAGUGCCUAAAAGUCUUGACCAUGAGUGGCUGGAACCCCCCUCCUGGCAACCGGAAAAUGCAUGGAGACCUCAUGUAUCUGUACAUCAUCACUGUGGAGGAUCGACACGUUAGUAUCACUGCGUCCACCAGAGGAUUUUACCUGAAUCAGUCGACAGCAUAUAAUUUUAAUCCUAAACCUGCCAAUCCGAGUUUUCUCAGUCAUUCCCUGGUGGAACUCCUUAACCAGAUCAGCCCGACCUUCAAAAGAAAUUUCGCAGCUCUUCAGAAGAAACGGGUUCAGAGGCAUCCCUUUGAAAGGAUAGCCACCCCCUUCCAGGUUUACAGUUGGACGGCACCACAGGCAGAGCACGCCAUGGACUGCGUGAGGGCGGAAGAUGCUUAUACGUCAAGGCUGGGCUAUGAAGAGCACAUACCUGGACAGACCAGAGACUGGAACGAGGAGUUGCAAACCACACGAGAGCUACCCCGCAAGAAUCUGCCAGAGAGGCUGCUGAGAGAACGAGCCAUUUUCAAGGUCCACAGCGACUUCACAGCGGCUGCUACCAGAGGAGCCAUGGCCGUCAUCGAUGGCAACGUCAUGGCCAUCAAUCCCAGUGAGGAGACCAAGAUGCAGAUGUUCAUCUGGAACAACAUUUUCUUCAGCCUGGGCUUCGAUGUCCGCGACCACUACAAGGACUUCGGGGGGGACGUCGCCGCCUACGUGGCGCCCACCAACGACCUCAACGGGGUGCGGACCUAUAACGCGGUGGACGUUGAGGGGCUGUACACGUUGGGGACCGUGGUGGUGGAUUACCGGGGUUACCGGGUCACGGCACAGUCCAUCAUUCCAGGGAUCUUAGAACGAGAGCAGGAGCAGAGCGUCAUCUACGGGUCGAUAGACUUCGGCAAGACCAUUGUCUCUCACCCCAAGUACCUGGAGCUGCUGGAGAAGACCAGCCGGCCCCUCAAGAUCCAGAAGCACAAAGUUCUGAAUGACAAGAACGAGGAGGUGGAGCUGUGCUCGUCUGUGGAGUGCAAAGGCAUCAUUGGCAAUGAUGGACGCCACUAUAUCCUUGACCUGCUCCGCACCUUUCCCCCCGACCUGAACUUUUUGCCGGUCGAAGGGGAGGAGAUGCCGGAAGAAUGUAAGAAAAUGGGAUUUCCCAAGCAGCACAGGCACAAGCUUUGCUGUCUCAGGCAGGAGCUGGUGGAUGCCUUUGUAGAGCACAGAUAUCUCUUAUUCAUGAAACUGGCUGCUCUGCAGCUGAUGCAGCAGAAGGCCAACAAGCAGGAGAACUUGGGCGUGCUGGAGAAUGGGGCCUCCGCAGAGAAUGGAACAGUGGGAAGCGAGAAAUCGGAAUCAGAUGAUAAAAUAGAGGAGAACGUGGCUGGAUUAGAUCAGGUUAAAGAGCUGGCAGAGACCAUUGCAUCUGAUGAUGGAACAGUGGAUCCCAAAAGCAGAGAGGUGAUUCAAAAUGCCUGCAAAGCCGUGGGUUCCAUCAGCGACACGUCCUUUGACAUUCGGUUUAACCCGGAUAUCUUCUCACCAGGUGUUCGUUUCCCUGAGUCCAGCAAAGAGGAAAUGCAGGAUCAGAAGCAGUUAUUAAAGGAUGCCGCUGCUUUCUUACUGUCAUGCCAAAUCCCAGGCUUGGUGAAAGACUGCCUGGACCACACCAUGCUUCCGAUGGAUGGCGCUACGUUAGCAGAGGCCAUGCACCAGAGAGGCAUCAACAUGCGCUACCUAGGCAAAGUCGUCGACUUCAUCACCAAGACCCCCGCCCGCCCACAGCUGGAUCACAUCUAUAAAAUUGGAAUAAGCGAAUUGAUCACUCGAUCAGCCAAACACAUCUUCAAGACAUACCUUCAGGGCGUGGAGUUGUCUGGUUUAUCGGCAGCCAUCAGUCACUUCCUCAAUUGCUUCCUAAGCUCCUUCCUGAACCCAGUUGCCCAUCUCCCUGCUGAUGAGCUGGUCUCCAAGAAGAAGAAUAAGAAAAGGAAAAACAGGAACCUUGGAAAUGCUGAUAACACUGCCUGGUCCAGCAUGACCCCUCAGGAGCUUUGGAAGAAUAUUUGUUCUGAGGCAAAGAACUACUUUGAUUUUCAUCUUGAAUGCGAGAAUGUUGACCAAGCAGCUGAGGUGUAUAACCUCCAGAAAAUCACCCUUCUACGUGAGAUCUCCCUCAAAACUGGAAUCCAGAUCCUGUUGAAAGAGUAUAACUUCGAUAACCGGCACAAACCCACCUUCACAGAGGAGGAUAUUCUCAACAUCUUCCCAGUCGUGAAGCAUGUAAACCCCAAAGCUUCAGAUGCUUUCCACUUCUUCCAGAGCGGGCAAGCAAAGGUCCAGCAAGGUUUCUUGAAGGAGGGUUGUGAGCUCAUCAACGAAGCCUUAAACUUGUUUAACAAUGUGUACGGUGCUAUGCACGUGGAAAUCUGUGCCUGCCUUCGGCUGCUGGCUCGCCUCAACUAUAUCAUGGGAGACUACUCAGAGGCCUUAAGUAAUCAACAGAAAGCGGUGCUAAUGAGUGAGAGGGUCCUGGGCAUUGAGCAUCCCAACACAAUCCAAGAAUAUAUGCACCUUGCUUUGUAUUGCUUUGCCAACAGCCAACUCUCCACAGCAUUAAACUUACUGUACCGCGCACGCUACCUCAUGCUGUUGGUAUUUGGAGAAGACCACCCAGAAAUGGCACUCUUAGACAACAACAUUGGUUUGGUGCUUCACGGGGUUAUGGAAUACGACCUGUCCCUCCGAUUCCUGGAGAAUGCUCUAGCGAUCAACUCCAAGUAUCACGGCUUCAAGUCUCUGAAGGUGGCACUGAGCCAUCACUUGGUAGCCCGAGUGUACGAGAGUAAAGCAGAAUUCCGAUCAGCUCUACAGCAUGAAAAGGAAGGCUACACAAUCUACAAAAAUCAGCUUGGAGAACACCAUGAAAAGACCAAAGAAAGCUCUGAGUACUUGAAAUACCUGACUCAGCAAGCAGUGGCUCUUCAACGCACAAUGAAUGAGAUCUACAAGAAUGGAUCCAAUGCUAACAUUAUGCCACUUAAGUUCACCGCUCCCAGUAUGGCGAGCGUGCUGGAGCAGCUCAACAUUAUCAAUGGAAUUCUUUUCAUUCCACUCAGCCAAAAGGACUUGGAGAACCUUAAAGCAGAGGUGCAGCGACGCCAGCAGCUCCAAGAGGCCGUGAAGAACAGCGAACAGCUGGAAGCAGAAGAUGCAGUCUCCGAGGAGAGAGCGGCUGAGCCGAGCAUGCCUUCUGCUGAGGUCCCCCCAGCACAGAGCUCUGCUUAAAGUGUACCUCGCUUAAAAACCACAAAAUUUAAACCCUCCCCUUUUUCUGAAUCUGAACCAGGGUCUUGGACUCCCCUGGGGCAGCUUCUCCUUUGUUUGACAAUGUUAUUGCACUGGUACAAUUAAUACACAAUGCAAAGAACGAAGUUGAGAACUAGAAUCUGACUGCGCUCGUGUCCACCACGCGAAGGGGGAAAGGUGGCCAGGAUGCAGCAGCAUACGAAAGAACAUCCUAGUGACUUAAGGAACGGGAUCAGGACAGGUCAGAAAAGAGUCAGUUCUGGUCUCUGCUCUUCCAGAUUCACGGUGACCUUGGAUAUGUAGUUUCACCACUUGGCUUCACUUAUCCCAUCUAUAAGAGAGGAUACUACCAUCCAUCCCACGAGUGUUGAGGAUUAAUGAAUGUGUUUUGGGUCAAGAGAGAUUUCACACAUCUGAAUAAAAGUGUUAAUGAAUAGAAAGUAUUAGUAAAUUUUUCUGAAAUAAUUUUAACACAAAUCUCAUCCAGAAAAACUGUGUGUAUUGUUUUGACAAGUCCACAAAAAAAAAAACUUUGACCAUAUCAACAAUUUGUCCAUUCAUGUAGAGGUUCUUAAACAUUUAAGAUAAAUGCAAAAUAACUCAAAAAAAUACUGCCUCCAGUUAAGAUGUUGGGGCAGAAGUUAAUACUUCUAAAGCUUCAGGUACAAUGAUUUGAAUAAUCUUGAGGCAGCAGUUUAAGAGUAUUAAUUUAAACAACUUCCUAUGUUAACAAGAAAUUCUAGUAUUCCCCAAGAAUUAGGUUACUAACGAGGUUUUAAUAGUAAAUGCAUAAUGUCUUGCAUACCAGAUAUCUAUGAAUAAAACAGGAAGACUCACUGAAAAAAGUAAAUCUUGAAGAAUUUAAACUCCCACUAAAAAAAAGUUAGCCAUUUCUGGGGAUAUGAAAAAAGUCUGAGGAAUGCUAGUUUAGGAGAUUUUCUGUACUUCAUACUGCUCCAUCAAAGUGAUAUCCAUUUGAAUGGUCAUUUUAAAAAAGGAAACGGGAAAAAAGUUCAAACAAUGAAAUUAUGAAGUAUGGAGUAAAGCCAUUUCGCCCAUACCCAUGUUAACUGAAAGAACAUGGUUUAUAAAAAACAAAUACCCUAUAUGCUGGACAUAUGUACAGAGGUUCUGAAAUACUGCAGUAACCAAGGAUCAUUAUAGCAAGGGAAAAAACAGAGGCAACAACACAUGGCAUGCUUAAGGUGAAUACAGCCCUCAUUCACCUACUGCUGAAUGACUCAGUGAUGCUUAAAGAACAGCAGAUGCUUCACUGAAGACUCUGGGCACGAGAACAUAAGAGCGGCCAUACUGGGUCAGAUUAAAGGUUCAUCUAGCCCAGUAACC